UACAAUUAGCAUCGUCCUGCUAUCGUACCUCGAUAACGAAGCGCGACUCGGCUCUUCACAUGCAGCUUGACUACAACGUUUAUUAAAAAACUACUUCUACUAGUAACUAAUCUACAUUUGAAUAUCAACCAUACGUGUGAGACCUAAAGCUUAAAUUAUUAUAGUGACUAAUAGAGUUAAGGGUGAUUUUCGUUGAUACGAAAACCCUUGAAUGUUGCACUUGCUUGACGAUGGUGGAUAUAGUGGAGUGCUAUUCAGUGAAGUAGGCGGGCACACCAAAUUAUAAUUUGGUCCAACCAAGAUAUGCAAGUACUAGAAACUUUAAAUUUCCUAUUAAUAAAUUUAUGAUACGUUCGGGAACACAACAAUGUCUUUUAAAAUAUUUAUGGUAUGCCAUUGUGUCAACAACUAAUAAAUUAUUAAAAUAUUAUGAAUUAAUUAUGUAGCGUAUUUUAAGUAGGUACACAUAGAGCCACAAGCGGCGCUCACUACACACGGGUUUAUAGUCUGUGGUAAACAGAAAGCCCGCCAAAAUUGAAAUAUGGAAAUAAUUGUAAAUUGCAUGUUUGAUUGUUAAUUCACUUAAAAACUUGUAUAAUAAUUGCGUUAUAUAAUAAAGCAUUGUCAUACAUACACGUGAUACGUAAUGUAAAUUGAAAAUUUAAAUUUUAAAAAACGAUGUUUAAAUAUAUAAUAAUUAUGAUGUGAACGUGCCACUAAAGCUGUUUUCAUUUGCUGUGUGCGGAAAGUUGAGGUACAAAAAACAUUCAAAAAACCAUGGAUGUUUUUAUACGUCGAGAAAUAUUUGGAAAAUAUGAAAUCUAUCAGGCACGACUCUGAGCUGCAGAUAUACCUACAUAGCUGAAUAAUGAAGAUAAUGAAGAUCGUUGAUGUGGUCAAGUUUUGUUUAAAACUGGAUAUGGAAGAAUUGAAAUAAAUACUAGAAGUGAAAAUUUUCGUAAAAUGACGGACGCGCUUCGGUGGUAAGGAAUAUACGAUAAAUAAAUAAAAUCGUUAUUUCUAAAAUACUAAAUUUGUCUUUUUUAAUACUUAGAAAGCUAAUUUAAUAAGUUCCAAAACGAAAUAAUGUAAAUAAAAAAUGAAACAUUUUGUUUUUAAUUAUAAAACAUUUAUCUUUGUGCGUGACGUUUGAGUAAUAAAAGCGUGUAAGGUUCAUUGAAA